rnacentral:lncRNA from 10 species
ACCGUCCCCCCAACCACCUCUCUUGUGGAAAAAUUCUCUUCCAAGCAACUGGUUCCUGGUGCCAAAAAGGUUGGGAACUGCUGCUUUAAAUCAUCUCUAGAUUACUUAUAGCACCUAAUAUAAUGUAAAUGCUACCUAAAUAGUUAUUGUACUGUAGAUUUUAUUGGUACUAUUUUCUACUGUUGGAUUGAGAUUUUUUUGUCCUGAAUAUUUUUGAUAUGCAGUUGGAUGGAGGGACACCUAUAUAGCAAUGUACGAGGGCAGAUGACUAAUAGUGUAAUGAAUCUGUUGAAGUUGUUGAACCCCCUCAUUUACUUAACUAAUUUGAUCUAUAGUUCUUUUGCUAAUCUGAUCUAUGUUUCCUGAAAAGCUAAAACAAAACAAGCAUCUGAUGGCUAAAAUUAAUUCUGCCAAAUGCCUCCGCUUGUAGUGAUGCAACAACAAGGGAGGGGAAGGACCUAUACUUCACCAGCCUGUGCUGGCUGCUUUUCAUGUAUUUAUUAACUUAAAAAACCACGAGUUUAAGCUGAUCUCUUUAUUACAUUUGAACUGUACACAAAUAUUGGGUUUGAAAAAGACUUUUGUUAAAAACCCAAAGGCAAAGGUGUGGCCAAUUCAGGACUUCCAUACAAUGGCAAUUUUGUAUCCUGCUAACUCUGUCUCCAGAAAGUGGGUUAGGGAGUCUGGGUGACUUCUUGGCUUCGCAGGCUCCUUCCCCCUGGGGAGGGAUGUCGGCGACUUCUUGGCCUCACAAGUUCCUUCCCCCUGGGGAGGGAUGUAGCCAAACUGUACCCUAGAGUAAAAGGUCUGUGGAGGCUGGUGUAGUGUGGCUCAUGCCUGUAAUCCCAGCACUUGGGAGGCCCAAGCAGGAGGAUCGCUUGAGGCCAGGAGUUUGGGACCAGCCUGGGCAACAUAGUGAGACCCCAUCUCUUAAAAAAAAAAUAAGCUAAAAGAUUAGCUGAGUGUGGUGGUGUGUACCUGUAGUCCCAGCUACUCAGGAGCUUGAGGUAAGAGGAUUGCUUGAGCCAAAAGAUUGAGGCUGCAGUGAGCCAUGAUUGCACCAUUGCAAUCCAGCCUGGGAGAUGGAGUGAGAUCCAUCUCUUAAAAGAAAAAAAAAGGUCUGAGGGUAGUGUUGCCACCAUGACCACCCCCCGGCCUUUCUCCAAAGAACACUUUUAUUCACAAUAUUCCAGGCAUGUGAUUAACACCACUGCCUUAUUUCAUUAUUUAAAUAUUCCACCCAUGGAUGUUUUUUCUCCUAACUAGAGCAGACUGUAAUUUCUCAGGGGUCAGGGGCUUAUUUUGCAAGACUGCAUCUCUAAUGCUAUAGAAAUAAAAGAAAUGCAAAAGUUAUCACUUGAAUGUACUGAAUAAAUAAAUGGGAAAAUCUGAAGAUAUCAUGUUGAUUUUUUGAAAGGAUAAAACACUGGGGAAGGGGACUUAUGCUCUUUUGAUAUCAAUGCUAUGUGGAAUACAUCAUGCUAAGGAAUCAAGGCAAAACCACAGAGUAGGCUAAGAGAAACAAGACCUAGACUGAGCAGCGAGCUCAAGUGUUUCAUUUAUUAUGGGACAGGAAUCUCAUUCCUGCUCUUUCCAACUCCACCUUAUUAGGUACCUUUUAAGAUCAUUUUCUGUUUCCUUGUUUCUCUUUUAGAACCAUGCUCAGCACCUCCCUAAGAAGAGGGGCCACCUGUGUGGAAUGGUUCCUGAAGCUGGCAGUGGUGGGGGUGUGAAUAAGCCAGUUGUUCUGGCGGGGGCUUGUGAAGCUUAAAAAUGAAGAAUUGAGAAGAACUGAAAAGAAGUUUUCCCUGAAAAUUUUUCCCCAAAGUGGGGGAAAAACUUGCAGUGAGGACCACCACAGAAGAAGCUGGUGAGUGAGUUAGAUAUUUCUGUAUUUUAAAAGGUAUCCUAGUAGGUUCUCUCUCUCACUUUCUCUCUCUCUCUCUCUCUCUCUCUCUCUCUGUGUGUGUGUGUGUGUGUGUGUGUGUGUGUCCCAUUUGCUGCAAACCUGGAGAUUAGUUUGGUGCAAAAGAAAUGGCAGUUUCUGCCAUGAUGGCAAUUUAUUUUGCACCAACCUAAUAGCAGUGGAUAUUUCCAAAAUUUUUCUUCCAAAUUGUCCCCUGAGGUUCAACUUAUAAACACAAAAAGAUCAUCAAGACCUAGAAAUCUGAAAUUGCUGCUUUAUUCAUAGAGCAGUUGUCUAUGGGUCAUUAUGCUCAAAACACUAAGGUUACUGGCAGGGCCACUAUCUGUUGAAUAUAAC